CCAUGAAGCUGGAUUCGCUAGUAAUCGCGCAUCAGCCACGGCGCGGUGAAUACGUUCCCGGGCCUUGUACACACCGCCGUCAAGCCAUGGGAGCCGGGAGUGCCUGAAGUACGUGACCGCAAGGAGCGUCCCAGGGUAAGACCGGUGACUGGGGCUAAGUCGUAACAAGGUAGC
rnacentral:rRNA from 1 species